rnacentral:miRNA from 1 species
AUCACUUCAGGGGACUGAACC